rnacentral:rRNA from 1 species
GAUGAACGCUGGCGGCGUGCCUAAUACAUGCAAGUCGAGCGAACAGACGAGGAGCUUGCUCCUCUGACGUUAGCGGCGGACGGGUGAGUAACACGUGGAUAACCUACCUAUAAGACUGGGAUAACUUCGGGAAACCGGAGCUAAUACCGGAUAAUAUAUUGAACCGCAUGGUUCAAUAGUGAAAGACGGUUUUGCUGUCACUUAUAGAUGGAUCCGCGCCGCAUUAGCUAGUUGGUAAGGUAACGGCUUACCAAGGCAACGAUGCGUAGCCGACCUGAGAGGGGGAUAGGCAACACUGAACUGAGACACGGUCCAGACUCCUACGGGAGGCAGCAGUAGGGAAUCUUCCGCAAUGGGCGAAAGCUUGACGGAGCAACGCCGCGUGAGUGAUGAAGGUCUUCGGAUCGUAAAACUCUGUUAUUAGGGAAGAACAAAUGUGUAAGUAACUAUGCACGUCUUGACGGUACCUAAUCAGAAAGCCACGGCUAACUACGUG